UUAAAUUUAAACUGUAUUAAAGAUGAGGAAAGAUAGAAAGAUAAUGGGGGCAUACCUCAUACAGUGACCAUCAUAGAACAAGCCUAUGAUGACAGCAGUAAACAAAACAAAAAGCUUAAACAGAUGCUACAUAAAGAGCUACAGAUUGCUAAUACAAAGAGACCUUACCAAAUUUUGAACCUAAAACAAACAAUGAGACAAGACAAUCCCAACAGUAGCAGUAAUACAAUUCGGCUGCCAAAAUAACAACAGCAUCAUCAUCUAGCUAACCAACUAGCAGCAGCAGGAUCAAACAAAUUUCCCAACUCAGAUAGGCAUUCCCUGACCAUAGCAGCAGUAGGAGCACAAGAUUUAUGGCCAACCACUGCAGCAUAGAUACGCCCCAACAACCUAUAUUCUGAAGGCCUCACCCACAACAUCACUAUUUUGAAAGCAGCAAGACAUCCACUACAAAGACUGAAUGACAGAACUGAACCACCCACACACACACCAGCAACAACAUAACAAAGCAGAUAUACCCAGCAACAAAUAAUUAGCAUGUCCGUGGCAAAAUAUAUUAACCCAACUUAAUAAAGAAAUCCCCAUCAAGAUAUAGAAAACAGAAUUACAAGACAAGGUGAAGGAAUUUGGCUUUAACUCUUUGAAAUUUAGUAUAGGAAUGCAGCCUACAUUUAAUAAUAUUCAAGAUAUUUUGCACUAUGGUCCUAGCAGGAGAGGGAGGGUUUUCAUAAAUCCUAGCAUUACGACUUUUUGCCAAAUGUUAUAGACAACCACAGCAAGGCAAGAUGCAACAUAUGGAAUUGGACUUUGUUACUAGAGCUAGAUGUCACAACCUUAGAAAUUCCUAAGCCCAACCGUGCGGCCUUAGACAACUAUCACCCUUUUUAGUUGCUAAGUAAGUCUUACGCCAAGUGAACACCAAGAGAACUUGAAAGGAAGAAUGGAAAUAAGAAAGCUUUAUUAAACAAGAGAGCUUUACAAGUAUGCAAUGAGAAUGCUUUUACCUUGGAUGGCUUGGGUGGACAAAUGAGACCACCCUCCUAUUUAUAGGCCUUCACCUCCUAAGGGAAGGUUCUAGAAAUUAAUACUAUAAUCCUAGUCCUAGAAAGAUCUAGAUAAAGCAUUCUAGAUAUGUACAAGUGUUAUACCUCUCUACCUAAGUCUAGAUUAUUCUAGACAUGUCUUGAAUAUACAAUAAAAGUAUAGACAAGUGUGGAAUAUUCUUGAGGCUCCCAGACCAUUCUAGAAUACUCUACUAUCUUGGAAUAUUCUAGAAUAUUCCUAGAAUACUCCAUAAUCCUCUUCAUUGUUCUAGAUUGUUCCACAGCCAGGUGGAACUACGUAGCGCAUUCUAUCAUGCUGGAGAUCAUUCUAGAGACUUCCCCACAUUCUUGCCCCAAAUUAAGCCUCACAUAAGUGCAUGCGCGACAUCUUCGUGGGUUAACCCCUAGAACAUUCCGCAGGACGUGACAUUCUCCCCACCUAAUUUCGUGACGCCCUCGUCACGAACUUCAGUGUCGAACCUCGCACUGUGUUCGGCAUUUCUUGAUGACUUCUGCGUACGUCCGCGGUCCAACAAGCCUCUCACCAUAUGAUAAUUUCGAUCCUUUGAUGAACUCGACUGCUCUAAGCAAGUUGCUAGUGCCUUCCCCCAGUUGCACCAAAGGUAUCUCGCAUAAAGCACGCCCAUUAUCAUCGGAGAUUGCCAACGCUCCCCGAUAUGGUAUUAACGCCGAAUUAUACUUCUCCAAAAAGUCCAUUCCAAGGACAGCUUUGUGAUCAUCCAUGUUGAUGACAGUGAAGUCGGUUUUUCCCGUCCAUGCUCCCAGGCGUAGUUCAACCCCUUUUACUAUGCCAUGGGUUUGUUGUUCUUCAGAAUUAACAGUCUUCACCCAUCCUUCGUCCUUGGUUGGUUUGAGCCCCAAUGCUCCGCAUAUGUCAGGAGUCAGAAAGUUAUGCGUGGCCCCUGAGUCUACCAACGCUUGCACAACUUUGCCCCCAACCUCCAUGUUAACAUAACAAAGACCCUUCCUUUGUGUCGUCAUGCUCUUGUCGGAUCCCGGCUUCUUGACCUUGGCAUCCUGCUCCAUGAUCGUUUCUCGCAUUUGCAACACUCCCUCUGGUUUCUUUCCCAUGCCGCUCGACGAUAUCAUGCUAAGUAAAGUCUUCCGCUGCGAGCAAUUAUUGAUAAAGUGGUCCCCACCACCACACCAAUAACAUCCAGAGAAGGAUUUAACACUAACAUUUGCUCGCUCCUUCUUUGGUGAUUUUCGCCCCUCAUUGCUAUGAAAGUCGCCUCUUGGUCUCCUAUCACCCGCCUAGUUAGGAGUAGGUCUGACCUGUACUGAGUUGAGGAGUUGAAGAGCUCCCAUUGUAGCUUCCUCCUCGUGCUCACCCUUUGUGAUUAAGGCAUUGAGUGCUUGGCGUUUUGGACACUCUCGCCCAAUGAGGUCCAUUACAUAUGAAGCAAUUUUCUCGCGGCUUCCUGUCAGAACUUCGACCUCCCUUGUCUUGGUGGUGGACGACUCUACCCCCAUUCCCUUUUAAAUUCGUAGACAUCGUCCCUUUUUCUUCCACCUUGUUCCUGUUGGUAUGGUCGCCCUUUAGUUUAGAGAGUUCUCUUUCACCCGAAUGAUACUCCACCAAACACUCCGCAACCGUCAAUGCCGUUGCAAUAUCUUCGACUUUAUGCCUUUUUAGCUCGUGUAAGACCCCAGAUUUUAUGAAAUAAAAGUAUUCAAUUUUUCUUAUAAUUAUUAUUCAGUAAAUGGUUAAAUUGAUAAAAGUUUAAAGUUAAGGGUGAUAUAUGUAAAAAUUUUAAAAUACGCAAGUGGUUAUAAAAUACUCAUUUCUGUUGGGAAAUAUUCGUUUGGUCGUGGAAUAUUCUUGUUGUCGGGGAAUAUUCGUACGACAACGUAGUCAUUUGUGGGCCCCAUAACAGAAUAACUGUCGGAUGAAGAAAAUGACAAGUUUGAGUUUUUAUAAGUAACGAAGUAGUUGUUACCGUUAACACUAUUGUAAUACCCGGUGGUUAAAAUAUAGUAAUACGCGUGGUUGCACAAUAGCACACGGUAUUGAACAGUAUUUUUGAAUUAUUGAUUAUUACGUAAGAAGGCACUACUCAAUAAUUGUUACAGUAAUUACUAUUCAAUAUUCUAUUUUAUUGAUUCAAUAAUUGUUGCGUUGAUAUUUUAUAUUAUUGUUGUUUCAAUAAUUAUCGUUGCAUAGUAUUUCCCAUUAUCAGAUCAAUAAUUCAUAUUAUUUGAAUAAUAUUAUUAGAUAGCAUUAUUAGUAAUGUCUAGAAAGUUCUGUCAAGGAGAGGUUUGGUCACCUAAUUGCGCGUCACUAAGGAGAAAUCCUUAUCGGAAAGCCCCCUCUUUCCUAGGAACUGCCUAGUUGUAAUUAUUGUGAUUCUGUAAUAUUAUUAGUGAAUAAUUAAUUAUUGAUAAGGAAAUAUUUAUUUGAUGCGGAUAUAAAUAAUGGAUUUAUUUAUUUUAUGUGGUUAUAAUUGAAGGAAUUAAUGUUGAGGUGUUUUAUCAGUAUUUUUGUCGGAAUGGAGGUAUUAAAAAUCAAAUCAGUAUUUUUACGAUAUAUUGCGUGAGUUAUAAUUUUUAAUCUGACCGUUGGAUCAUUGUGAUUUUUGGAUAUGUUAUACAUAUAUAAGUUGAGUAUAUGUCUACAUAUUUUGAACCGUUAAAAACGAACGUAUGAUUUGUUGUGAAUUUUAAGAGGUGACUGGUUCAGAAAUUAUUAAAGUUUAGGAAUUUAUCAUUUUGGUAAAAAAUUCUAGAAUACGUGGGCCCCACCUAUGGUUGGUGAAGAAAUGUGCUGAAAUUCUAAUUCAAAUAUGGUGAGUGGCAAUAGUAGCAGGUAAAGCCAUCAGGUAGCAGGUUAAGUCUGCUUCGGCGUGCUAACAUUUUCCUAUAAAUAGAGGGCUAAGUUAGAAUUGAAAAUCACACCAGAAACAUAAGCUUUCUUUAUUUCUCUCUCUAUAUUAUCAAGCGUAUUUUGUGAGUAUUUAAAUACUUUGAGAGUUGCUAUUCAGUGCAAGGUUCCUUCGACUUUACAUUCCGGUCAGAAAUACUGAUCUUUCGAGGUAAGGGAUUAUAAGGGAUUUUAAGGGUUAUUAUGUUUCUUCAGUUUCGUAAUUUUUCUGACCUUAAAAAAUUCUGGAAAAAUUUAAAAUGAUAGUUUGAUGAGUUUUCUUGAUUGUGUCCAAAAAUGGUGAUUUUUGGAUGUAUAGAUUAAGAGUUAUGGAUUUUAUGAGAAAAAACUAUUUUAAAAGUAAACCCUUAUAACUCCUUGUGGUUAACUCCAAAAUUGGUGAAAUUUUUAUUGGGAGUACAUAUAUAUAACAUAAGUAUACUCUGUAAAUUUCGGAAUUUUUGGACAAAUAUACAAUUUAUGAUAAAUGUCUAAAUAUUCGGCAGUUUUGGUCAUAUGAAAAAUAGUAAAUGAAUUUUAAAAAUUCCGAGAAAAAUAUAUGUUCAAUAUGGGACUAUAUCCUGCUAACCCAGAAAAGAAAUAUUUUUGGAACUGAUUUGAUAUUUUUCAUAAAAAUGGACUAGUUAUGAGUAAAUGAAUUAAAUAUGUUAUGUGAAGUAACAAAAUUAGAAAAUAGGAUUUUAUGGCUUGGGAAUCCUAUAUAUGGUAUAUGUAGAUUUUUGAUGAGGUUUUUGGUUAUUGGACAUGAAAUCUUAUGAGUUUGGCAUUUUAGGAUGAUUAAAUGCAUUAAUUAGUAAAGUGUAAACAAUUAGAAUAAAUUGUUUAUAAGUUUAAGAAAUGAUUAAGAUAUUGUGGUAAUAUUAAUGAUAUUAGAUUAUGAGAUUAUUAAGUGAUUUAUAACAUUUGGAUUAAGGUGUUAUAAAUAUUGAUAUGAAUUUUAUUGUGAAAGUUUAUCUUUUUGUGUCGGUGUUACUAUUCACGAGUUACUAUUCACGAUAAAAUUGGUUUUUUUUUUUGACCAAAUUAUCAUUGAUUUAUGAAUCUUACUCUUGAAAUUAAAUCCAUGAUUUUUAUUAUCAUAUAUAACAUUUUUAUAAUCCUGGUGAAGAAAUUUUUCUUUGACUUGAGUGUAAAGAUGGGUAGAUUAUUGGUAUGAUCGUGACUAUGGGUUCUCUUUGGCCAGUAGUACAAAGAUGAAUUGUUGACUGGUAUGAUCAUGACCAUUGAAUUUGCAAUUGAAUAUUUUUAGAUUAAGAGCAAAAGUGAAUUGAUCAAUAUGGUUAUAAUUAUUGUUAAUAUAAAUUCUGAAAUGAUUAUAUAUUUCUUUGAAAUAUUAACAUCUUUGGCCUGUAGUGCAAAGAUAAAUUGUUGAUGAAUAUCUUUGGCGUGUAGUGUAAGACCCAAACUUAUUAUAAAUUAAAUUAAAUUUCCUCUAUUUAUUAUUUUGAAAUAGUAAGGAUUGAUUUGAUUAAUGUGGUUAGUUAUGGGUAAAAUGCGCAAAUAUUUUAAAUAAGCAAGUGGUUAUAAAAUAUUCAUUGUUGUCAGAGAAUAUUAGUUUGGUCGUGGAAUAUUCUUACUAUCUGAGAAUAUGCGUACGACGGCGCAGCCUUGUGUGGGCCCCAUAACGGAAAGCGAUUGGAUGAAGAAAACGACAAGUAUAAGUUGUUUAUAAAUAACGGCGUAGUUGUUACCGUUAAUACUGUUGNNNNNNNNNNNNNNNNNNNNNNNNNNNNNNNNNNNNNNNNNNNNNNNNNNNNNNNNNNNNNNNNNNNNNNNNNNNNNNNNNNNNNNNNNNNNNNNNNNNNAAAUUUUUAAUGUGACAAUUGUUGAAAAUUAAUAUUUUAUCUUUUUCUGAUAAAAUAAUUUAUUUAAAUAUAUUAUUAUAUUUUAAUAAUAUAAUAAUGGUGAUAUUUUUACAAUGAAUGUGGGAUAUAUGAGUAUAUAAGGAGGAAGAGUAUUUUUGUUUCAAAAAUUGUUUAAAAUAUGUUAAACAUGUUUGUGGGCCCAUUUCUUGACUGAAAUUUGAUUAUAGCCUGUAAAAUCGCUCGUUUGUGGAUUUUGGUCAAUUUUUAUUUGAAAUUUGGAAAAACUUUCUUCUGUAAAGUUGUAGAGAAUGGAAUUUUCUAUGGAAAGGACAUAAGGUUUGAAUUUUUCUGACAAAAGGGCUAUUUAUUAUGAAUUAUUGAAGUUCCAAAAUUCUGAAAUAAUUGAUUUUUGGAAGUUUUAAUUAUUUUUUUAAGAAAAACGUUUUUUGAAAGUUUUGUGAGUUGGUGGGCUAUGGUAAAUGUGCUGAAAUGAGAAUUCAAAUGGUGCGUAUGAUUAUUUAAUAAAUAUUAUUAUUUUAUUAAAUUUUCUGCUUUGGUGUUCUAAGUAUUUUCCUAUAAAUAGGGUGUUUAGGUUAGAAUUGAAAAUCACACAAGAAACUGAAGUUUUCUCUCUCUUUCUCUCUCUAUAUUAUCGAGCGUAUUCUUGUGAGUAUUUUGAUACUUUGAGUGUUGCUAUACGGUGCGAGUUCCCUUCAGCACUAUAUCUAGUAUUCCAGUCAGAAGUACUAUUCUUUUCGAGGUAAAGGAUAUUUUUUUUUUAAAAUGAUAUUAUUUUUUCUAAUAUCAUUAUGCCGGAAUAUUGGUAAGAUUUUUUGUGAAAUUCUUGUCUUUUAGUGUCGGGGUUACUAUUCAUGUAUACGACACUAUUCACGAAUACGACACUAUUCAUAGAAAAAUUGAAAUUUCGUUUUUUAUCCAAAAUAUCUAUUAUAGAUACUAGCUUUGAUUGUAUCCAUGUUUUGAUCAUUCUUGAAUUUUACUUCACUAUGAUUGUUUAUGAAGUAUUUUUGAACUCGAAUUGUUUAAAGUACGAAUCCUUAAUAUUUGUUCUUUUGUUUCACUGGAUUCGUUUUCUUUAAAAUAUUUUUCAUCAUCCUCAGUCCUAAAUGAUGAUAUUACUGAAUAUCUUUGGCCUGUAGUGCAAAGAUUAAUGAUUUUCUGAUGAAUAUCUUUGGCCCGUAGUGCAAAGAUGAACAUGUGUUGAGAUGAACAUGACCAACUGAUGAAUAUCUUUGGCCUGUAGUGCAAAGAUGAAUAUUUGAUUCAAGAUGAAUAUUGAUUGAUGUUACAGGGAUAAAAUAAUGAUGAUGGACUUUUAAAUUCAUAGAUUAUAGUAGAUUGCAUUCUCUACGUAACUCAUCUAUGAAUUAUUAUUUUCCGCUGUAAAUAUUGAUCUGAAAUUUGUUGUCUAUUGUAUUUUAUCAGAUUUUUUCCUGUUGAAGACUAACGAUAAUUUGUUCUAUAUUAUCUUAGUCAUAAUAUUCUUUACUGGGCUAGUUAAGGUCACCCUUUUCCUUUUUGUUCUAUUUUUCUUCUCAAGAGGCGAGAAUGUAGCGAGUAUUAGUCGGGGUAUGGAAUGAAAGUUCUAGAAAGUCAUUUUAGUAGUCCUCACCAUUUUUGUAAAAUAAUGUACCAAUAAUUAUAAUGAGAACUUAUUUAGGUGUGAAUAUUGUCUAGAUGACAAUAUUUGUAUUUAAACUCACAGUUUUUAUGUUGUAUUAAUAAAGUUGUAGUUGUUUCUGUACCAUGUUAUUGACGAUUCAAAAUGGGUGAUGUAUACCUAUUUUGGGGGCGUCACAUGUAGUGCAAAGAUGAAUUAUUGAUGAAUAUUUUUGGCCCGUAGUGCAAAGAUGACCUGUUGUUGAAUAUCUUUGGCCCGUAGUGCAAAGAAGAAUUUAUUAGUAUUAUUAUGAACAGGAACUGUGUUUUGGUAUAACCAUGAUAUUUGAUGUUUCAGGUAAAGACAUGUGAUGAAAAAUAUCUUCUUCUUGGAUGAGAAGAGAAAAUUAGAACUACAAUUAUGAUUAUGAGUUAUUCACAUGACUGUGAACAGGAUCUGUUGAUUAAUGUUACAGGGUUAAAGCAUUGUUGGUGGACUUUUNNNNNNNNNNNNNNNNNNNNNNNNNNNNNNNNNNNNNNNNNNNNNNNNNNNNNNNNNNNNNNNNNNNNNNNNNNNNNNNNNNNNNNNNNNNNNNNNNNNNGUGGAGAUAGUUAUAUGUCAAGAGAAGACUCACCAUUGGAAGGAACAUGAUAGUAAUCUUCUCUUUUUUUUUGGGGUCUAUUGGAUCAACCAAGGAUAAUUCUCUGGACAUAUGAUAUCUAUCAUAACUUAGAUUCAUGGCCUCCUAUGUACGAAGGUUUCCUUGAGCACUUCCUAAGGAUUUUAAUUUCUAAAACAGUUAUUGACUGUACGUUUAUGUAAUAUAUCAAUGUGAGGUGUUGUCCAUAGUUGGGACAUGAGUCAAAGUUGGAAUUAAAACUCACAAUAUAUGUGUUGUUGUAUUUUGCACGACAAUUAUAGUAAUAAAGUUGUAGUUGUAUUCUGUACCAUGUAUUUGGUGACUCAGAAUAGGUUGGAUGGAUUUGACCUAUUUUGGGGGCGUCACAUCUUGAGCAGCCCAAGGGUUGAGCCCAUCCAUGAAGUUAAAAAGAAGAUCCUCCUCACUCAUGUUCGUGAUUUGAAGCAUAAGAUCGGAGAAAGUCCGCACGUAAUCUUGGAUGGUCCGAUCUUGCUUGAGCUCCUUCAUCUUCUUACGGGCAUCGCGGCCAACAUUCAUGGGAUAGAACUGCUUCUUGAGUUCCACCUUUAAGAGCUCCCAAGUAUUGAUGGUACAUGUGCCUUUCUCCAUCUCGACACAUUUCCUACGCCACCAAACCAUUGCAAUGUCGGUGAAGUAGAGGGAAGCAGUGUUUACCUUCACUUGAUCUUCCAAGUUUAAGGCUGCAAAAAAUUUAAACAUAUCAAAAAAUAAUUUCAUGAGACAAGUUUAAACAUGAUUAAAGUUAGGAGAGGUAAUUAAACAUAUAUGAGGGUGAUCUAUACUUAUAGUCAAUAAUAAUUGUUCACUCUUUCAAAAUUAAAGAUACAAUUUGAUUUUUGAUGUCAAACGACAUAAUAUUAAACUUUUCAUACGAGUUUAGAAUAAAAAAAAUUAUAAUUAAUAAUUUUUGUUAUAUACCAUACAUUUGCAAUAAUUGUAUCAACUAAAAUUAAACAAAUUCAUAUCAAUUUGAAAUUUAAUAUAUCAUCGUUUGAUGUCAAAAGUUAAAUUGUACAUCUAAUUUUGAAACGAAUGGAGUAUACUAUUAUUUGCAACCAACUCGUGUAAAACAUUUCUUCAAGAAUUUUUAUUUUUUUUUUUGUUAAAUUUAAACUGUAUUAAAGAUGAGGAAAAAUAGAAAGAUAAUUGGGCAUACCUCAUACAGUGACCAUCAUAGAACAAGCCCUAUGAUGACAGCAGUAAACAAAACAAAAAGCUUAAACAGAUGCUACAUAAAGAGCAACAGAUUGCUAAUACAAAGAGACCUUACCAAAUUUUGAACCUAAAACAAACAAUGAGAUAAGGCAAACCCAACAGUAGCAGUAAUAUAAUUCGGCUGCCAAAAUAACAACAACAUCAUCAUCUAGCUAACCAACUAGCAGCAGCAGCAUCAAACAAAUUUCCCAACUCAGAUAGGCAUUCCCUGACCAUAGCAGCAGUAGGAGCACAAGAUUUAUGGCCAACCACUGCAGCAUAGAUACGCCCCAAUAACCUAUAUUCUGAAGGCCUCACCCACAACAUCAUGAUUUUGAAAGCAGCAAGACAUCCACUACAAAGACUGAAUGACAGAACUGAACCACCCACACACACACCAGCAACAACAUAACAAAGCAGAUAUACCCAGCAACAAAUAAUUAGCAUGUCCGUGGCAAAAUAUAUUAACCCAACUUAAUAAAGAAAUCCCCAUCAAGAUAUAGAAAACAGAAUUACAAGACAAGGUGAAGGAAUUUGGCUUUAACUCUUUGAAAUUUAGUAUAGGAAUGCAUCCUACAUUUAAUAAUAUUCAAGAUAUUUUGCACUAUGGUCCUAGCAGGAGAGGGAGGGUUUUCAUAAAGCCUAGCAUUACGACUUUUUGCCAAAUGUAUAGACAACCACAGCAAGGCAAGAUGCAACAUAUGGAAUUGGACUUUGUUACUAGAGCUAGAUGUCACGGCCUUAGAAAUUCCUAAGCCCAACUGUGCGGCCUUAGACAACUAUCACCCUUUUUAGUUGCUAAGUAAGUCUUACGCCAAGUGAACACCAAGAGAACUUGAAAGGAAGAAUGGAAAUAAGAAAGCUUUAUUAAACAAGAGAGCUUUACAAGUAUGCAAUGAGAAUGUUUUUACCUUGGAUGGCUUGGGUGGACAAAUGAGACCACCCUCCUAUUUAUAGGCCUUCACCUCCUAAGGGAAGGUUCUAGAAAUUAAUACUAUAAUCCUAGUCCUAGAAAGAUCUAGAUAGAGCAUUCUAGAUAUGUACAAGUGUUAUACCUCUCUACCUAAGUCUAAAUUAUUCUAGACAUGUCUGGAAUAUACAAUAAAAGUAUAGACAAGUGUGGAAUAUUCUUGAGGCUCCCAGACCAUUCUAGAAU
rnacentral:lncRNA from 1 species